GGCUUUUUGAUAAUAAUUUAAGGUCAGACCUGCCCAAUGAUGGAGCAUUAAAUGGCCGCGGUAUAUUGACCGUGCAAAGGUAGCAUAAUCAUUAGUUUUUUAAUUGAAAGCUUGUAUGAAGGGUUUAAUGAAAAGAUAGCUGUCUCUAUUUGAAUUUUAUAGAAAUUUAUUUUUAAGUUAAAAGGCUUAAAUAUAUACUAAAGACGAGAAGACCCUAUAGAGUUUUAUAAUUUUCUGUAAUUGUUAUAUUUUGGGAUUUUAGAAUAAUUUUUUGGAAUUAUUUGGUUGGGGUGACUUGAAAACUAAGAAAACUUUUUAAUGAAUAUUUCAUUGAUUUGUGAAUUUUUGAUCCUUGUUUGAGAUUAAGAGAAGAAAUUACCUUAGGGAUAACAGCGUAAUUUUUUUUAGAGUUCUUAUCGAAAAAAAAGAUUGCGACCUCGAUGUUGGAUUAAAAUUAAUUAUUGGUGGAGAAGCUAAUAGGUUAAGGUCUGUUCGACCUAUAAAUUUUUACAUGAUCUGAGUUUAAACCGGUGUGAG
rnacentral:rRNA from 1 species